rnacentral:lncRNA from 1 species
GGCUUGUCAACAUGUAUUGUAAAGAACAAGGUCUAGUAGGUGGGAGCAUAUGUUGUAACUCAGUAGUGUGUUUCAAAACCAGGGCUGCUUAGCCUCUUGAUGCUGCAGCUCCCAUGUGGAAUCAUAGCACAUGUGAUAAAAACACCAGAGAUGGGCGCUUUUCAAGGAAUACAAUUUCAAAGAUGUUUACUGUCAGUUUGACCUUCAGAUCCAGCAAUUUUAUUUCACUCUGACGGCUUGCAAGAGAGAAAUCUGAUUUUGACAGAAGUCUUAGCACAGUGCCAGGUUCACAGCUCAGUGAAUGCUUACUGUCACUGUCAUUGGCAAACUGAAGCGAGAAGUAAAAACAACACAAUAACAACAAAACAAAACAAAACAGGGAAAAUCAGAACCGAAGACUAAGUGACCAUGAAAAGGCACCCGUGAAUGUUUGUGGAGUAUCUGUGAGCAUGAAUUCCAUGCAGAUGUUCUACUCUCCCCAGAAACAUAAGCCCCAGGAAGGUGGGGAAGUCACGUGUGUGCUCUUGCUACCAGGCGGCGUGCUGCGGUCAUGUAGUGAAUGUCAAACAAGAAAACUCCCCCAAAGGAUGGCUCUAAUUAUUUUCUCCAGUUGUGUGUAUCUGCAUUGAACUUUGAUUUGUCCAUAAAAAUAAUGCAAGCUUUUAAUCUUUUCCUUACGUUUUUUAAAACUACUUACAUCUACUCUACUCACAUUACAAUUUCAGAGCACUAGUAUUCCAAUAUCUUUCUUGGAGGUUCUGGACAAAUCAUAUAGGCAUUAUGUGUCAUCCAGCAAUUAUGGACUUUGUACCCACUAUGUCCUGAGAACUACUGCAAGUGCUGAAAUGAUACCUAUGACAGGUCUCGGCUCUGGAGCACUGUUUGAGGUCUGGGGCUGCAGGGUGAGAUGGUGUGCCGAGGAGAAGGUUGAAAUUUUAAUAAAUGUAGUGCAAUAAGUUCUUAAAACAAAGGAAUGUAUCCCCUUAAGAGGAGAUGACAUUUGAGUCUUGAAGGGUGAGUGGACUUCUUUCAGAGGGGAUAGGAGGCAGGAAAGGACACAGAGAAGAGCAGAGAUUGGUGGAGUGCACAAUGGGAAAGAAGACCAGAUGUUCCUUCACACCUGGAUCAUAAAAGGCUCUACUGAAGAAGACAGGGUCCAAGAAGAGAAAACCAAUGAGGCUAUAAGUAGGAGAAAGGAACCAAGUUACACUUUCAUAAAACAGAUUCUAGAAUUGAGGCUGGGUAGAGGGCUGGUUGUAGGGAAGACACCAAGGAUCCUAUAUAAUGACAUUGAAGGGACACCAUGAUGUUUUCGUUAAGAUCACAGCCCGAGCCAGGGUCUUGGGCUCAAGUCCCAACUUCAUCAUUUAUUAGCUAUGUGAUCUUGAGAAGGUUACUUAUUUCCCCAUCUAUAAAUCAGAGAUAAUAAAAGUCCAUCUCAUGGAGUUUCU